UAGGGAAUCUUCGGCAAUGGGGGCAACCCUGACCGAGCAACGCCGCGUGAGUGAAGAAGGUUUUCGGAUCGUAAAGCUCUGUUGUAAGUCAAGAACGGGUGUGAGAGUGGAAAGUUCACACUGUGACGGUAGCUUACCAGAAAGGGACGGCUAACUACGUGCCAGCAGCCGCGGUAAUACGUAGGUCCCGAGCGUUGUCCGGAUUUAUUGGGCGUAAAGCGAGCGCAGGCGGUUUGAUAAGUCUGAAGUUAAAGGCUGUGGCUCAACCAUAGUUCGCUUUGGAAACUGUCAAACUUGAGUGCAGAAGGGGAGAGUGGAAUUCCAUGUGUAGCGGUGAAAUGCGUAGAUAUAUGGAGGAACACCGGUGGCGAAAGCGGCUCUCUGGUCUGUAACUGACGCUGAGGCUCGAAAGCGUGGGGAGCGAACAGGAUUAGAUACCCUGGUAGUCCACGCCGUAAACGAUGAGUGCUAGGUGUUGGAUCCUUUCCGAGAUUCAGUGCCGCAGCUAACGCAUUAAGCACUCCGCCUGGGGAGUACGACCGCAAGGUUG
rnacentral:rRNA from 1 species